GUGAAGAUGGAAGUCCAGGGAGAAAUAUGUUGGAUGCACCUCCAUCCAGAUCAGGAAUUCUUCUGAAAGACCCAAUGCUUGGAGCUUUUCCGGCUGCAUGGAAAAAGCGUUUUACUUUCAGCCCUACGCUACCAAAAACACCAGUACUGCCUUUGCGUCCACCUCUUCGGGAAGCAGGCAGCCUGACCCUCAACCCAUCUCUGCUCAUAUCACCUUCUCAAGGCCUGAGCCGUUCUCUCCAUCCAGAAGGACGAGAGGCACUACAAACAUUAUUCGAGGACGUGUGGGUCACCCCAGAAUCUACCGUCUUAAAAAGUCCCAGUUUGCCAGGCAGCUUUGCAGAUGGAUCAAUUGUCAUGAGUGCUGGAAGUAGCAGCAAUCUGUCCUUCAAGAGUGAGGAAGAGAACAAUAGCUCUGAAGAUGAGACCCCAAAACAACUCGUUCCUCGGAAGAGAGCAAGAAAAGUCUGUUCACACAGGCACACUUCAAGAAGAGGACGUGUUACAACACAGCCAAACCCUAAGAAGAAAUGUGUGAACGGCUUCAUUAUGUUCUGCCGAAUUAACAGAAAAUUAUAUAUCAGAUCCUAUCCUGGCAUCCCGUCCACUACGGUCACCAAAGAGUUAGCCAAUCUAUGGCACAUCUUGCCCAAGAAGGAGAGGCGUUUGUACUGGUAGGAAUUCUCCAAA
rnacentral:lncRNA from 1 species